CCAGGGCAAGCCAUGCUUGACCAGACUGCUCUCUGUGAUAAAAUGACUAGGUGUGAGAUGAGGGGAGAGCAGUGGAUGUCACUUACCCACACUUUAGUAAUGUUUUCAGCAGUGUCUCCCACAAUGUUCUUGUGUCCAAGCUGGAAUACCAAAUCUGGAUGUCUGGAUCACCAAAACUCCAGUAAAUUGAUAACUUAUUGGAGAUUUGGGCUCAGAGGGUGGUAGCUAAGGAGCUGUGCUCAGCCUGGAGCCUGCCCAGUAAAGUUGUGCAAUUUCCACCCUAGAAAGUUUUUGUGCCCUGCCUGGACAUGACACUGUUCUAAUUUCAGUGGUGAUCAUGUUAAGAGCUGGAGAAUGGAUGAAGACAUCCAGAGGUCCCUUCUACCCUGAGUUAUCCUAUGAGUCUCUUAUUCUAAUGUUUGGGCACACAGAUGAUUGUCCAAUUGGGCAGACCACAGAGUUGGCCUCAUGCUGACAGCAGGAGAACCUAAGGUGCUGACCCUGACAUGAUAAUUCUGUAGUGGCAACUUUCCUGUCAAAAUAUUGCUAAAAAGCUCAUGCAAAAAACCCCCAUGGCUUCAUAUCACAUUGUGUUUUCUGUCACACAAGAAAAAGGCUUUGAUUUAGUGGUGUUAAUGGCAGCUGUAACACAGCACACCCACUUGCCAACAUAAGGUUUCCAAGUUUCCUGUCCUCAGUGUUUCAUGUUGAUUAUGUCUUGGACUACAGUGCCUCUUGCAUCCCACCUUUUAUGGGAGGGUUUUACACUUUGGUAUUUAGAUUCCUGUAGCUUUCAAAACAUGCUCAAGGGCUGAACAAGAGCAAAUUUGCCUUGAUGUUGAUGCUGAGUGUUUUUCUACAGGCAGGUGCCCAGUCUGGGUUGUCUCCUUCUGUCUGCACUGUUAAGAUUCUCUUCCUGCAAUUUCUGCAAGGACUGACCCUCACCAUGCUGGACUCUGAGUUAAAGCACAUGUUAGAACGGCUUUAAAAUUUGAGAAAGUCAGGUUAGUGAUGCCAAAUCCAGCAGUGAACAAUGCCAUAUGUCUAAUAAAAACCCAGAUGAAACAGCACAACAGCACCAGGUAAUGCUACUUUUUUUUUUUUUUUCCUAUUGCUGUGUCUACCACCAUUAAAAAAACAGAUCUAACUUCCUCCUACAAUAGGGUAUUUUAGUGUGUUGUAGGAGUGCCUCAGUCCUUUUAUUGACACACCCCUAAGUUUUUCUUAUGCCUUCUUGUUUGCCUUUUUCCUCUCCCACUGCACAGACUUAUUAGUUCUCUAGUGAUGUACAGCAUCCAUGUCAUGUGUUAAAGAUAUUCUCAGAGGAAAAACCCCCAACAGUUUUCCAAUAAACAUAGAUAUGCUGAUUUUCCAGGAGGGUUUAAUUGAAGCUUGAUCUGAGCCCUGU